rnacentral:rRNA from 1 species
UUGACCUCAAAUCGGGUGAGACUACCCGCUGAACUUAAGCAUAUCAG